rnacentral:rRNA from 1 species
AUUGAACGCUGGCGGCAUGCCUUACACAUGCAAGUCGAACGGCAGCACGGGAGCAAUCCUGGUGGCGAGUGGCGAACGGGUGAGUAAUAUAUCGGAACGUGCCCAGUAGUGGGGGAUAACUGCUCGAAAGAGCAGCUAAUACCGCAUACGACCUGAGGGUGAAAGGGGGGGAUCGCAAGAACUCUCGCUAUUGGAGCGGCCGAUGUCAGAUUAGCUAGUUGGUGGGGUAAAGGCCUACCAAGGCAACGAUCUGUAGUUGGUCUGGGAGGACGACCAGCCAAACUGGGACUGAGACACGGCCCAGACGCCUACGGGAGGCAGCAGUGGGGAAUUUUGGACAAUGGGCGCAAGCCUGAUCCAGCAAUGCCGCGUGCAGGAAGAAGGCCUUCGGGUUGUAAACUGCUUUUGUCAGGGAAGAAAUCCUCUAGGUUAAUACCCUUGGGGGGAUGACGGUACCUGAAGAAUAAGCACCGGCUAACUACGUGCCAGCCGCCGCGGUAACAC